GGAAAAAUCUCCAUUGGUAGGGUAAGACACUUGCUAUGUGUUAUGUUUUUACAUUUAGGUGUUCGAAUCACCUUUUUUCCG
rnacentral:tRNA from 1 species